rnacentral:rRNA from 1 species
CAGUAGCCGCGGGAAUACGAAGGGGGCUAGCGUUGCUCGGAAUCACUGGGCGUAAAGGGUGCGUAGGCGGGUCUUUAAGUCAGAGGUGAAAUCCUGGAGCUCAACUCCAGAACUGCCUUUGAUACUGAGGAUCUUGAGUUCGGGAGAGGUGAGUGGAACUGCGAGUGUAGAGGUUAAAUUCGUAGAUAUUCGCAAGAGCACCAGUGGCGAAGGCGGCUCACUGGCCCGAUACUGACGCUGAGGCACGAAAGCGUGGGGAGCAAACAGGAUUAGAGACCCGCGUAGUCCCUGUCUCUUAUAC